UCAAUGUGAAAUACCCUGGCAUUUGCAACAGUAGGCAGCAUGUCCUUAAAACGUAUGGGUCCUCAAAACAGCACUUGUUGCACAAAUAAGUGUAGCUGGCCUCUUCAAGAAAUUGAAAUUAUGCAUGGUCACUUUUUCUUAUUGUUUCACGUGGAGGUCUACUGACAUUGUCUAAAUAAUGUAGGCUAGUUUAUGUCCAUGUAUUAUAUUAGGACCCAAGGUUAAUGGGUUAUUCUAUUUACCAUGUUUUCACAGGCUGCUGUCUCAUAUGGCGAAGACGAGUCACUUGAAGGCCUAACAGCUCUUAUGAGGAGCAGUCUUGCCAUAGAAGACUGAAAGAAUGUAAGAUUAACUUCUUUGUGACCAAUAUGACUUGCUCAUUGAUACAUUUGCUAUGUCAAUAUGAGAUGCAUGGCGAAGUAUUUAAUUUAUUUGUCUCUCUUCUAGGAGCUGUAGAAACAACAGGGUGCCUGCUGCAGUAUGACGAGGAUGCCCUGAUCAUAGAAGGUCCAGUGUCUUGGCAGGGUGAAAUGGCACUGAUAUCGUGUCCUGCAGGAUGCUGUGUCCUGCAAUCCUGUGUGCUGUGCUACAGACGCGUGUGGAGGUCAACCCGAAAUGGGCACAGUAGAGUGAAAGAGGAUCCUGGCAGGGAGACGGUAGUGUCCUGCAGGAUGGUGAUGGGCAAUCUUACAAGAGACCACAG